rfam:Cavia porcellus supercont2_4 genomic scaffold, whole genome shotgun sequence.
AGCUUUGUGCAGUGGCUGUAUCAUAACCGAUUAUGUUUAGCUGAAGCAUGAUUAUUGCUAAUUGAAAAGGCUAACCAAGAUAUCAUUUGAAAGUUCUUCUAGUUUGCAGUGAUAUGGCUGCCUAAGUAAAUUAAUUUAAAAAAAA